CGCUUUUCCUCCACUAUAAAAAUCCGGUCGCGACGGAGCAAAAAAUGGACCCCAGCGUAGCGGAGCCGGCAGCCAAGCAGAAAAAUACGAGUAUCGCACGCGCAAGGCGAUUCCGUCCCCAUUCUCCACCCAAUAGGGAGCUAGAGCUACGAGACGGGGAAAGGGGGGACGGGAAUAGGCGUCGUCGGCCAUGUCGUCGUCGUGGAACUCGGUGGGUCUGGCGAUCCUGUACCAGGUGCUGGGCUGGGUCGCCUUCGCCGCGUGGUCCUUCAGCUUCUACCCGCAGGUCCUCCUCAACUACAAGCGCAAGAGUGUUGUGGGCCUGAAUUUCGAUUUUCUGGUGUUGAACUUGACAAAGCACUCGUCCUACCUCAUAUACAAUGCUGCUCUCUUCUUCAGCCCAUUCAUCCAGCAACAGUAUCAUGACAAAUAUGGUGAUAAAGAGAUGAUUCCUGUUGCUGCAAAUGAUGUUGCUUUUUCACUGCAUGCUGUAGCAUUGACAGCCUUUACCGUUUUUCAAGUAUUCAUAUAUGAGCGAGGAACACAGAAAGUCUCCAAAGUUUGCAUAUCAAUUUCUGCUAUUGUCUGGAUCGCCGCUCUUGUUUGCCUCAUUAUUGCUUGGCCAAAAAGUGACUGGCUUUGGCUUAUUGAUGUAUUCAAUUCAAUACAAGUUGGCAUGACAGCAAUCAAGUACAUCCCUCAGGCCAUCAUGAACUUCAGGCGGAAGAGCACAAUUGGUUGGAGCGUUGGCAAUAUAUUACUUGAUCUCACAGGAGGGGUGCUGAAUUUUUGUCAGAUGGGUGUGCAGUCUAUAGAUCAACAUACUUUGGUGAAUUUCUAUGGAAACAUUGGGAAAACCCUUCUUUCAUUGGAGACGGUUUUCUUUGAUGUCCUGUUCAUUAUCCAACACUACGUGUUGUACCCUGUCAAGAAGGACGAGAAUGGGACUUGGUUGGAAGAAAGAUCAAUGAAGAAAUGUGAAGAAAAAUCAAUGAGUAUAGUGUCAGACAACAUCAGAUCAAUCUGACAAACCUGAGGUUUGAUCUAUAUAUGAAAUAGUAAAACCAAUUUGUUUGAUGGUUGCCCUAUGUUGUGCAUGGGACGAGAUCAUAAUAUUGUUGGUGUUGAAAGCAUCUAGGCACCGAGUUGGUUUAGUGAUUAAUAACAACGUAAGUUUAUUUGUGACUAACGUGUGUUUUGUUGAGCAAAUGGUAAGAUUAGGUCACAAUGCAGGAAGUUGCGCUCCAACAGGUGAAAACAAUCCCUCAGAUGAGAACUUGAAGCGACGGCUAAAAAAGAGGAAGUGAAUGGCUUGUGACUCACCCAAAUCUCAUAACCGGAUGUUGAGAGGAAGAUUCUUAGUGUGCUUCCCAUUGAGAAGUAUGGCCACAUUGUCAUGGUGCUUCAUCAAAUGGAUCUUUCCACCGCUACACCAACACAAAUAUUGAGAAAGAUUAAUGCCCAUGAAAUAUAUAUGUACGUCAAUGACAAAGAUGGGUCUUCUUAACAAGAAGAAAGAUUUAGCACUUAAAGCUAAUCAAGAGAAGAAGGGCAAGACCGAAAUUCUAGUUAAAGAAGAGUCUUCAAGUGAUGAUGACCUUGAUGUCAAUAUUGCCUUGAUGGUGAAAAAGACAACAAAGAUGUUGAAUAAACUAAACCGAGAAGGCAUCAAAUUUUAUUCAAGAAAUAAGAAGUUUUUCUUUAGUAGCAAAAGAAAGCCCAUCUCGGAGAUGGAUUGCUAUAAUUAUGGCGAGCUUGGCCAUCUUGCUCAUCAAUGCAGAAAGCCUAACAAAAACAAAUUCAAGGGCAAGAAAUAUGAUGAAAGUGAAAAUGAGAAGAAGGAAAAGAAGUUUUUCAAGAAAAAAGAGAGCAAACAAAAGAGAUUCCACAAAAGAAAGGGUGGGAAAGCAUACAUUGUUGGUGAUUGGCUCACCGACAUUGAAUCCAUAAGCGACUCUUCCUCAAGUGGAGAAGAUGAUGAAAAGGUCACUGCAGUCGCCGUGGAUUUCUCUUCACCACCGCAAUCGCCUUCAUCCACUACACACCUAUGCCUUAUGGCUAAAGAUGAACGGAAG